rnacentral:rRNA from 1 species
CCCUGCCAUUUGUACACACCGCCCGUCGCUCCUACCGUUGGAGUUGAAGGUGAGUCUGGCGGAUGGCGCCCAGAUGAGCCUACCGUAUCACGGAAAGCUCAGCAUCCAGAAACCAGACAAAUCUUUUUCUCUGUAGGAAGGAGAAGUCGUAACAA